AUUGAACGCUGGCGGCAGGCCUAACACAUGCAAGUCGAACGAGUGGCGGACGGGUGAGUAAUGUCUGGGAAACUGCCCGAUGGAGGGGGAUAACUACUGGAAACGGUAGCUAAUACCGCAUACCAUCGGAUGUGCCUAGAUGGGAUUAGCUAGUAGGUGGGGUAACGGCUCACCUAGGCGACGAUCCCUAGCCGGUCUGCGAGCAUGACCCGCCACACUUGAAGUGAGACACGUGCCAGACUCCUACGGAGGGCAGCAGUGGGGAAUAUUGCACAAUGGGCGAAAGCCUGAUGCGGCCAUGCCGCGUGUAUGAAGAAGGCCUUCGGGUUGUAAAGUACUUUCAGCGGGGAGGCGUUACUCGCAGAAGAAGCACCGGCUAACUCCGUGCCAGCAGCCGCGGUAAUUC
rnacentral:rRNA from 1 species